AGUUGCUUCUUAACCUUCAUACCCAUGGUCUUGAAUGUAACAGAUCCUGAAUCCAAGUUUGAGCUGUGUCUCGCUGUCGCAUCAACUCCCUGAUUUCUUUAUCCAUCUGAAUGAUUUGAACAGUUCAUAGAGAGGAAACUUGUGAGAUACUUCAAGGGCUCAUGGUGCAGAUAAUCGCAGUUCUAGCAUUCCCUCCUAGCGAAUUCUGCAGUAUACGUGUUAGCUUGGAGUCUCUAUAUGGAAUAUGCCCAUUUCUUCCUUUGCUGAUCAAAAUCCAAAACCAUUGACAACUAAUAUAAGUAUCUCUAGAGGUUACUUGAUGCAGCCAACUUGGAUAAGUAUUACUACGAAGUACUAACCUUAGUUUACGAAUACAUGUUCCUAGGGCCAGCAAACUCCGGUUUAUGUGGCUACCUUCUUUGAUUCGUGUGUUUGCUGUUAAUGUUUGUGAAGAACGCUCACUUCCUGCAAGAUCAACAAAAUCCUGCAUUUUGCAGCAAAAAGAAGAAAAAAGAAAAUGUCACUUCUUUCCUGUUCCUUUUGCAUCAAAAGGAAAGAUUCUUCUGAAGGUUAGGAUUUACUUUCAUACCACUGAAGCUGAUAAAAUGCUAUUGUUCUGAGAACGAAAAGGUUGGUUGGCACAACUUUCAACCGUCUGAAAAAUUCAGUACACUCAAGAAGAUAGUAAGUGCAGCAAGUUCUAACAAAGUGUUUAUACUGCAAAAACUAGAAUAACAUAUGAAGUACUUCAUACCAGCCGCAGAAUCUGGUGAGACCUUGAGCUCAUUUCGUUCAUAGAGGUUUCUCCUAUUCGUCUUUGUGCUGCAAGAACGCAGAGCUAGUUGUGUUGAGCAUAUACUAUAUAAAAUAUAAAUGUAUAGUCUCAUUGUCAGUUUAAACUUACAGUUGAGACAGAACACAUUAUUCGAUUAGCUGAAGUAACGAAUUGAUGAAAUGUUGAAAGAGUAGCUGAGAAUGAAGCUCUCUCUUACCUUCACAGAUGGACAGGAGUUCUAUUAUAUGCCUCCAAUCUCUCACUGUCACCUCUAGCACACGUGAGAACAUAAAAUCCUCACCUCUGGAUCAUCAAGAAGUCUGAGUGGAGUAGUAUCCAAGCUUAGGAGGUCCCUCACAGACUCGUUGUAGAUCUCCAAAGCAGAGAACUUCAGGGUAAAUCGUCUCUCUUCAUGCUAAAAAUUCAAGUUUUUUUAGUGGAACAAAGUGUCUAGGCAAUUCUUGAUAGCUUGCAAAUAUCAUUGAUUUGGAGAAAGUAGAAACUUUUCAGUACCUUAUUGUUUAUAUAGUCAAAGAUAUCAGCCAUUGCGAGUUGAGUAAUCCCGUUCAUGGUGUAUGUCUUUCCACUGCUUGUCUGCCCAUAGGCAAAGAUACUUGCUGGAGAACCAUUUUUUAGGGCAAUUAGGCCUAGUUUCACACACUAAAUCGCAUAAACCCAAAGUGCGAUGUUUGAGAUAUACAUACAGUUAAACCCAGUUAGGACGGUAAGAGCUAUAUUUUUUGCAGCUUCUUCAUAAACUUGCCUUGUGGAGGA